CCCUGGCUCAGGAUGAACGCAGGCGGCGUGCUUAACACAUGCAAGUCGAACGAUGACCCGGUGCUUGCACCGGUGAUUAGUGGCGAACGGGUGAGUAACACGUGAGUAACCUGCCCUUAACUCUGGGAUAAGCCUGGGAAACUGGGUCUAAUACCGGAUAUGACUCCUCAUCGCAUGGUGGGGGGUGGAAAGCUUUAUUGUGGUUUUGGAUGGACUCGCGGCCUAUCAGCUUGUUGGUGAGGUAAUGGCUCACCAAGGCGACGACGGGUAGCCGGCCUGAGAGGGUGACCGGCCACACUGGGACUGAGACACGGCCCAGACUCCUACGGGAGGCAGCAGUGGGGAAUAUUGCACAAUGGGCGCAAGCCUGAUGCAGCGACGCCGCGUGAGGGAUGACGGCCUUCGGGUUGUAAACCUCUUUCAGUAGGGAAGAAGCGAAAGUGACGGUACCUGCAGAAGAAGCGCCGGCUAAC
rnacentral:rRNA from 1 species